CGCACCCAGCUCCGCCCUCGGGAGAGGCUAUCAGUUGCUAGGUGGGGCGGUCUGCUCGGGAGAUUAGAAGAGGGCGAAGCCUGCCCCAACAGUCCCCAACACAGAGCUCUGAACCUAGACAAAGUGAGGAGUAGGGGGUUGCUGCGGGCUUCGUGAGGUUAAAAAUGCUAAGAGAUGGCGUGAAGACAGAAUUCUCAAAGCAGCAAUCACUCACACCCCUUUUGGGAGUUUCCAGUGAGGGGGAAGCUCGGGCCAGAACUUCCCAGGACUGGAGGCUGACGCUUCACCGCAUUCCAAACGCGGAACCACGUGGGCUGGGCGGGGCAGGCGCCGCGCAGAGGUCAGCUGUGGAGGCCGGCAGGCUUCCCACCAACACCUGGCGAGCGGGAGCCUUGGACGAAGAGUUUAAGGAGGCUCUCGGAGUGUGGAGGUGCAAGGUCCACCCCUGAAAGCGCGUGUCUCCUUAAAUUUUGUGCUGUUUCUCCUGCUAGUCCCGCCCCAGUCCGAGCCUGAGUCCUGACCACAGCGGGUGCAACUUCUGAAUUACGUGGCUCCUCCACAGCUUUUGGGGAUGCCCGCCCAUGUAGAAGCCCACCUCCCACGAGCAGGGUGAAUCUCCUCUCACUUGAAGAUCAGAAAUUGAGAUCUUUCCUGUUCAAUUAAGGAUACGUUUCCAGUAAGUGCAGACAUGGAAGAAAAUAGCAGACAAACAGUGGCUAGGAUGGCAGACUCUGCAUUUGAUCUCCUUAAAGUGCAGAUCCGACUCUAGAGAGCUAUGCUGGGCCUGGGACUUUGCACUUGUAACUAGUCACCAGAUGAUGCUACUGUCCUUGGUCAGGAACCACAGGAGUUACUUAGCUCCUGUAAAGAGGAGACCUCGAACUCAGGACUGGCUGCACAAUUUGCAGGUUCCAAUACAGAAUGAAAAGGAACACAGUCCAAAUCAUUGGAUCACACACCUGUUGGACUUUUGGGAUGUAUGUCCUGAGCUCCUUGGUCGAGCCCUGCAAGUGGUGACUGUCAAUGAGAUCAUCUGGAAGGCCUGAAGGCUGGACCCAUGGCCUGUCUGCUACCCAUACACUUAUGCAUGUGCAGGCACACACACACACACACACACACACACACACACACACAUACGUGCACUCAUGUGUGCCAAACUCCCAUUGAUUUUCUAACUGCCAGUUUGUCCCAAUCAGUGUCUUGGUCCAGGAGUGAGAUGACAAGUAAAAUAAACAUACCUCCUCUUUACAAGUGGCUCCUUUCUCUAAGUUCCUGUUGUCCAAUAGAACUUUCUUUGUUGAUGGAAAUGUUCUAUAUCUGCUCUGUCCGACACCACGAAAGGCUAUUGAGCCACUUAAAAUGAGACUAGUGUAAAGAACUGAAGUUUAAAUUUUAUUUCAUUUUAAUUAGAAUUUAUACAGCCACCUGUGACCAGUGGCUAGCAAAUCAGACAAUGCAGAUCUAGGGAUCGUCAUGUUUUCCAAUAAAAACUCAGGACCCAGGGCCUGAUAGGUGGGAGUAGAUGUAUAGGGCAAUCUAUUUGGAAUUGGGACUGGACUGUUAAUCUCUAUGCUACAUCUGUGCUUGAGCUCAGAUUUAAAACCUCAUCUUUGUCCCCCUUUUAUACAUUUUUAUUUCUUUUUUAUUAAAUUUUUUUUUAACAUUUAUUUAUUUUUGAGACAGAGACACAGCAUGAACGGGGGAGGGGCAGAGAGAGAGGGAGACACAGAAUCAGAAGCAGGCUCCAGGCUCUGAGCCAUCAGCCCAGAGCCUGACGCGGGGCUCGAACUCGUGGACCGCGAGAUCGUGACCUGAGCUGAAGUCGGACGCUUAACCGACUGAGCCACCCAGGCGCCCCUAUACAUUUUUAUUUCUAAUCCUCCCAGCAACUCUGUAAAGAAGAUCAUCUUUAUUUUUGCAGAUGAGGCAACUGAGGCCCAGAGAGCUAAGAGACAGCCUGAGCUCACGCAGCACACUGGGGAUCAGCCUCAUCCCCAGAAGUGUGGCUCCUGCUCUGGUUCCAAAGCGAGGCUCCUCCCACUGCCUCUCUUUAGGCGCUUUGAAGUCCAUUCAUCAGAGGGUGGCCCAGCCCUCCCACAAAGCCCUGGGUGCUGCUGCAGUAAAAAACUAGGGUAGGGAGACUUCUGAGUUCAGCCGCUGAGGGGAAGUUACUGGCGUAUCCAGGAAAGGAGGGGAGUGGCCAGUUCACCCGCACAGACUGACCUGCACCCCAGCCCACAAGUGUCUUAUGGAGGAGGCCAGGAGACCGCUGAGCGGGACAUAUGAUGUCCAAGGCCUUCCUCCUGCCUGAAAUUCUUUGCUUGCUGUCUGAAUUCCACCAAUGGUUCUUUCUCUCUCUCAACAAAGUGUAGAAGAGAUUCUUUAAUAGCUUGAUUUAUGGAGAGGAAAAGGAGAUUUUGAUAGAGGGGAGAGUCAUUUGCAAGGUAGAGUAGAGGGAAGGGCAGAACUGGGUAGAACCCCAGCAUGGCACUUUAGUCAAAGAGCCUUGAAGACACAGGGUUCACGGGGGGGGGGGGGGGGGGGAACAGUGUGGGAUGAGUGAAGAAGCAGGGGACAUGGCAAGGAGUAUUAGUAGGCCAGAUUUUGGGGAGGCACUGAAGGCAAACUUUCAACCCACCUAAACUCAGUCUGUUCCUCUCAGGGCUCUCAUGCCAGCCUGGUUCUCUCAUGCCCCAUGGCCUUUGCAUGCACAGCUCCCUGUACUCCAAGCCUCACUAGCCUCUGCUUGGCACACCCCUCCUCUUCCUCUUUCAGGUCCCAGUUUAAAGAUUACUUUCUCAAGGAUAUCUUUCUGGCUCCCAGGCUUUAUUUAAUAUGUAUCAUGUUGCAUGUUCUUAAGGCAUUUUCUUUCCUCCAUGUGCUUAGCUCAUCUUUUAAUUGUUUACUUGUUAUUAUUUGAUUAAUGUCUUAUUCCCUCAUUGGAUUCUAAGCUUCAUGAAAACUAGGACUAUGUGUGGUUUUACUCUUGAUUUUAGCCACAGCAACUCCUCAUGAUGCCUGCCACAUAGGCACCAUUCCAUAAAUAAGGGCUGAAUGAGUUCAGUGAAUGCAGGUUAAGUGGGUCCAUCCACCAUGGGGCUUUCUGUCCCUUUCCACAAAGAAGUUGACUCUGCCCAGACUGAUCACCAGAACUGUGAUGAGUCUGUCCCUAAGUCACUCUUAACUCCUUCAUUCAUACCUAGAAGAAAAUCAGUUACAAUGCUUUGGGUUCCAAGUAACCAAAAGUCCACCAACAAUGGCUUAAACCCUAGGGAGAUGUGUUUAUCUACUUAACAAGGAGCCUGGAGGUAGGUGACAUCAGAGUUGACCCAAUGGCUCAAUGCUGCCAUCACAAAUCAGGCUUUUCCCAACUUCCUGCCCUGUCCUCAUUCAUGCAUUUGUUGCCACAGCAACAAACAUCAUUCUCUCAAAACACUGUCUCAAGCAGGAAGGAAAGGGACAAGAAGGGAUUGGGAGGGUGUUUGUUUGCAAGAUGAAUUUAAAGAAUAAAAUGACCAUCGGUACGAGCCUCUAGGAUAGUACUUAACAACAUGGUUUUGCAGUUAAUUCUUUAUCUAUGAGCACCCCUCCCCAGUAACCUCCCCAUCCAGCUUUUUCCUAACAGAGGGUAUUUUGGAAAUGCCCUUCAUCAGCCUCUAGCACAGUCCCCAGGCAGCCAUGGUGCUUGCAGAAGGGGGAAACCAAGAGUGAGAGAGGCCGGGAAGGUCUGAAGUGGGGAUAUGGGCUGUGUCCAUUGCCAGAACUGGGGAACUCGGAGGGAAAGUGGGCAUCAGGGUGCUCAUAGCACAGGAAACAGGAAGUAGUGAGUCUGAGAGGAGAAGGGGGAGAGCUGUGGUGAUUACUGGCACAGUUGGUAAGGAGCUGUAAAAAAAAAAAAAGGGAAGGGUGUAGACCCAGGGGUUUGUGCCAAUCCAGCUUCCUAUAUGUCCUGAGGUUUUCUUCCAUCUCAGUGGGUGUUGUUUCCUUCCAGAGAGGGCAAGUAUAUGGCUGUCCCUCUCCUCAGAAGCAUUCAAUUGCAAAUGAGUCCUUGGUGGGUAUUUCUACGGCUCCUGCAGUAUUUGGAGCGAUGAAAGGAAUUGAAAUCCUCUUCUCCAUUCUCACCUAUUAUGGUCCUGUGGAAUUGAAUACCAAUAGCAGGCAGGGGAGAGAAGCUAAAAUAUUGAGGGUUGUUAAGAGAGAAGGAAGUAAAACCACUGAUCCCACCCCCACCCCUAUUUUCCCCCUCGUUUCCAUGCUCAACAUCUGGCAUUCUCUCUUGGGUCGUGACCUGCCUGAACAGGGUCCCUACUGAGGCUUCCAUGGAGGGGUGAAUCUGACAGGGUUGGGUUGGCUCUUGGGGUGCCAUUGGACCAGAAAGGACCCUCUGCUGUGACCCUACUUUGUGCCUAGAAGUUGGUUCCACAUGGUCCUAGCUCAGCUCUUGUCCAUCAGAGAAGUCCGAGGCCCCCUCUACUGCAUCCUCGCCUUUCUCUGCCUUAAUUCUUCUCAAGUCCUACUUGGAAAGGAGGGACAUCAUCCCAACAGGCUCAACUGCUGUAUUGUGCCUGGAGAAACAAAGUUUAAUACUGCAAAUGAAACCAUUUUAAUGGCUGCUUUGUGCUGCCCCAAAUAAAACAUCUCUAAGUGGUUUCUCAAGAUAACACAUCAGAAACCAAAACAGACUCAACAUCCAACAUUUAAAAUAUUCAGUAUGACUCUCAGAUUACCUUUUCCUGUGGAAAGACAAUCAGAACAAUGGUCACUAGGAUACUCUGCACACAAGGGAGCGUAUUGUUGGGUCUGAUAGCAUCUCGGCUGAGCUACCCAGGGAGGAGGAUGUCAGCCUCACCCUUGGGGUUUUCAGUGAUCUCAGCAAAGUUAGGAACCAAAAACUGGGGACCAUGACUGAGUCCUUUGAAAGUGUGGGACCCUAUGUAUCUUGCUGUGAUGGAUGUUUCAUUGCCUGCUGCCACCUUCACUAUAGGGACAAUUGGUAAGCCUCUCAAAUGGCCAAGUGUGAGUACCUUCCAUAGCAUCAGAGAAAGGGCAGACUUUGUGCUGAUUUGGGGAAGGGAGUGGUGGUGGAUAGUCUGGUUUUAAGAGGAACUUAAAGUCUAAGGACUCCUGGGGUUUGUGGCUUGGAAGCGAAGGCAGCUCAGGGCAGUUCUAGUCCUGAGGCGUGUCCAGGGAACCAGGACCACCAUGUGAAGAGGGGAGAGUGUGCACAAGCUGAGUGAAGGGGACUGUCAUUUUCCAGCCACACUCUCUAAUCUCUGGCUAGAGCAAGGACCCAAGGCCCUGGAGGAGUCAGCUCACCAGUCUUCCCUUGCUUCUCCAAGCUCCAGGACCCUCUCCACCUAUUAGGAGAAAUUAGAUGAGUCAACGGAAACUGAAAGGUGGAGUGUUGGAGGUGGCUGGGGAAGGGUUGGCGUAGAUAAUAUGCUUGAGGUGGCUGAAGACUAUGGGAAGACAGGGGGCAUAUUCAAGCAGAAAAGCUACACUGUCAUUUUUGUGACAGUGCCUUAUAACUGUGAAGCACUAUCCAAAUGGCUUUUGGAAAAUCUUCCUGUUGUCUCUGCCCAUUUUAAGAGAACGUCUGCCCAGUGGCCACUAGGAGGCAGCCAAGUCCCAUGCAGUUGAGAUAUCCCUGGCAAGUAAGGUCCACCAGGCGAGGAGGGCCAGAGGAACAGCCCUCAUGGGCUGUGGCCAUGGAAAUUCAGCCAACCCAAGGCCCAGGGGCUCCAAGGCCAAACUUAAGCAGGCCACCUUUGUCAAUGCCCCUCUCCUUACUCUCUAGCAUCCUCAUAUCUCACCCAAAGCACACUUAGAACUUCUUGUCUGCCACCCAGGACCCCACCCAUCUUCUGUCUCACACACAGCUCAUGGCAGGACUGACCUGCCCCAACCAGUUCCAGUUCUUGUUCCCUCAGGUUCUACUAAAAUAUUGGCCCAUCUGAGAAACUCAUUUGCACUGCGUGGCUGAAAACAAUUUACUAUUUACUUUUUUCUUUCUUUAAAUGUUUAUUUUUAAGAGAGGGAGAGAGCACGUGAGGGGCAGAGAGAGGGGGAGAGAGAGAAUCCCAAGCAGGUUCUGUGCUGUCAGUGCAGAGCCCAAUGUGGGGCUUGAACCCACAAACCAUGAGAUCACGAACUGGGCCAAAAAUCAAGAGUUGGACACUUAACCCACUGAGUCACCCAGGUGCCCAGAUAAUUUGCUAUUUAGCACUUCCAAAAAUACUCUUACUUGAGGGGAUUUGAACCUUAACAGUGAUGGUAUAAACUUAGUUUCCUCAAGCGCCUGUAUGGAGGUGCUAUAGUAAUUAUAAGGAAUAUAUUUUUCUGGCAUGUUCUGCUACUGUUACGGGACCAUUCACAAAGUCUCUUGCACAUUUCUGGGAGUCUCCAGAAGGUAUCUUAUAGGAGCUCCACUCGUGCCCCAGGCCUCCAGUCAGCAUGGGGGGAUGCUUCCGACUGUUUCUAAUGAAACAACAGAGGGACGACUCCCCCACCCACCUACCUAUACAUGUAUUCUCAAGUGUUCCAAGGCCAAAGUGAUAUCUUGCUCCCCAAUAUCAUAAAAAUAUUCACAGCCGGCACUUGUGUAGCACUUAUCAUAUGCCUGGCACUUUGCUAAGUUCUUAUAUACACUAUUCUCCACAACAACCCAGUAGGGGGAACUAUCAUCCUUACUCCUGUUUCACAAAUGGAGGAUUUGAGGCCCAGAGAUGUUAAGUACUUUGACCAUGAUCACACAGCUGAUAAAUGGAAGAGGCAAGAUUCAAACCCAGGCAAUCUGGCUCCGCAGCUAGGUUUUUAACCAGUGCACACAAUGCCUCUUCAGACAGCUCCAGAAACUGCAAUUUCAGCCUCCUCACAGCCUCCUUUCUCACUGGCACUCAGUCUGGGGCAGACUCUUGCCCUGCCCAGUACUUCCCCUUCCUGCAGACCUCGGAAUCUGUUUUUCAGGUAGGCCUAAGGGCCUGGCAUUCCUUCCUUCCUUCCUUCCUUCCUUCCUUCCUUCCUUCCUUCCUUCCUCCCUCCCUCCCUCCCU